UUGUGGUCGGUGUACAGGUGGUGCAUGGCUGUCGUCAGCUCGUGUCGUGAGAUGUUGGGUUAAGUCCCGCAACGAGCGCAACCCUUGUCCCGUGUUGCCAGCAGGCCCUUGUGGUGCUGGGGACUCACGGGAGACCGCCGGGGUCAACUCGGAGGAAGGUGGGGACGACGUCAAGUCAUCAUGCCCCUUAUGUCUUGGGCUGCACACGUGCUACAAUGGCCGGUACAAUGAG
rnacentral:rRNA from 1 species